rnacentral:rRNA from 1 species
AUACGUAGGGGGCGAGCGUUGUCCGGAAUUAUUGGGCGUAAAGGGCGUGUAGGCGGCUGGCCAAGUCAGUUGUGAAAUCCCCCGGCUUAACCGGGGAAUUGCAGUUGAAACUGGUCAGCUUGAGUGCAGGAGAGGAGGGUGGAAUUCCUGGUGUAGCGGUGAAAUGCGUAGAUAUCAGGAGGAACACCGGUGGCGAAGGCGACCUUCUGGCCUGUUACUGACGCUGAGGCGCGAAAGCUAGGGGAGCGAACAGGAUUAGAUACCCUGGUAGUCCUAGCCGUAAACGCUGGGUACUAGGUGUAGGGGGUUUAGAUACCCUCUGUGCCGCAGUUAACGCAUUAAGUACCCCGCCUGGGGAGUACGAUCGCAAGGUUGAA